UUAAUUGAGCGUCCUCACGUUCAGCUGACCCGUCGGUGCGCGUGGGCUCGUCCGGUGAUGUCUUUCAAACUAAUUAGAGAAGUCGCUUUGUUUUUAUUUGUUCCAACACUUUAUUUAUACACGUUUCGCGUUUGUCAUUCGGUGAGUUUAGGGCAGCGGGCGGGAGAUUUUACGUCUCACCGAGUUCAGGAGUCGCCACCUUCCACGAGCUGGAGAGAAAUUAAACGACACGACGACGCCCAUCAGGCGGAGUGGCGCUGGGCUGAACACGUUACCCGCGGCGCACGUGCGGACACGUCCAACCGGUCGCCUCCUCACCAGGUUCCGGUUAAGUCUUCUGACCUUCCCGGGAACACGCUCCCGCAGUCUAAAGCGCGGGAAGUUGAUGAAACCGGCAGUGAUUUCGCGGGCAGCAGCUUGUCUUGGGCCGCUGGUAACGCCAGCCUGGUACCAAGGUCCUCUGCGCCAGCCUCGGGUGGAUACCAAGCAGAUUUCACAGGGGUCCAGGGGAAGCUUUUGGGCCCUCCGGCCUCCAGUCAGCAUUUGUCCGAGUGGCUGGCUAUGAGGCCCGAGGUUCAGUGUGAUGACGGUGCUAUGACUUUCACCGCCUCUGGACGGGGAUUCGCACACCUGUUGGUGGACAGAGAGGGAGCCUCUCCCAUCUCCCUGUUCCAUUUACCGCCCCACUGUGGGUACUCUGUGAGGACGUCAUGGACUGACCUUGAAAUGAUGGCUUCAUAUGACUCGUGUUAUAUCAUAAAGAAGAAUGACAGCUUUGUGCUGCCCAUGCUGUGGUGGGGAAGCCCACUCAAACUCUCCUGUCCGGUGAAAUUGUCUCCUGACCCUUCAUUCUUGGUCUCUGCCCCGUCGGUCUUUUGCUCCUCCUCCACCAUGGCAGUGCAGAUAUAUGGGCACAAAGAGGAUGUACAGCUGUUGGGUGUCAUGGUAAAUGGAGGCUGGGGUCCGUUCGUGUCUGAUGGCUGUGCCUAUCAUGGCUCAUCCCAACCGAAGAAGCUUACAUUCUUCAUCCCCUACAGUGCUGCUUGUAUCAACAGUGGAGAUGACUUGCAUCUCCAUCUUACAUUUGACGACCAGGAGUACGUUCUCUCGUGUCCAUCCGAUCCUCGGCUUCUCUCCAUUCCGACUACUCCCCCUCCACCUCCUAUUGACCCUCAGUUUAGAUCUACCUCUGAUCCUGGUAGAUCCUUGACCACCCCCACUUCUCAUCUUCCCACCCAGAAGCAGACUGCUCAACUUCCACAAUAUCCCUUCCUCCCCCAGAUGCCCCAGGUGUUCCCUCCUGGCUCCCAACCGGCUCGCCCCUCUCAGCCUCCUCCUGGCAGUCCUCCUGGACUCCAGCCCUCACAGCAACAGUUCAUCUAUCCAAUGGUGUCUGGUGAAUGGCCGUAUUUUUCUGUAGUACCUCCAAAAUACCCUUAUCAAUCUCCAGUGGUUGACCAUUCUUUUAAAUUGCCUCUGAAAUCUCCCCCCUAUCUCUCUAGUCUGUAUUACCCCCAUAUGCCCUUUAAAUACCCCUCAGUGACAACAGCUCCCACAUCUGUUACUACAAAAGCUACAUUUCCUCUUGCUGCUCCUCCAGCAAGCCCAUCACAGAGACCCGCAGGCAAUCCAUACUACCCUCAGUAUUAUUUUAAGGUACCUAACAACCCUGCACCCAGUGCAGCACCAGGGACCAAGGCUCCUCCUGUUCUUGCUCCUCUCCAACCUCCACCAAAACAACCUGUAGGUCCACAGUACCAGAUCGGCCCAUUUUACCCACCUGGUUAUUACAGCGCUUAUUUUCCUUAUGGACCAGUGUCCUACUCACAGUUUGGCCCCAAAGUGCAAUCGCCUUCUCUACCUUCUACCACCACUAAGAUAACGGAUCCCAGUUCACCUGACCGUUCUGCUUAUCCCCCUGGCCAGUUUUACCCUUACCUCCCCAUGCCUCCACCACUACCCCCUAUCAAAGGGAAUCUACAGGCCACCUGCCCCUUUCACACCUUGUGUAGCCACCAUUUUUCCUAUCACUUUCUCUACCAUCCAUAUUAUCCAAUUCCUCCAUAUUCCGACACUCAGUUAGCGCCUACCACUAAACAGCCUUUACCUACCACCACUCCUACCACUACAGCAGCUACGACGCCACCUACCCCAGCCAGUGGCACUACGCAGAUGCCUUAUGUCCAGUGUUUAAUGGGGUGGGUGACCAUCCUCCUGCCUUUUGCUCACCCAGAUUCCAUCCAGGUCAAAGACCAAAUGAAUACGUGGCUGUUCCUCUCCAGUGUGUCUCCACUGUGUGGGUACAUGAUGCAGAUGGCUGAGGGCUCUGGGGUAAUCCUUCACUCUCCUCUGCCUGCCUGUCACAGCGAGUCACGGACUCCCACAACCAUUUCCUUAACUCUGAGGUUUUGGGACCUGGCUGCAGGGCGCUAUAAGAUUGUGGAGCCACAAUGCUCAUAUGACAGUCUGUCAAAGAGUCCUGCACCACUUCAACAACCAGUCACCCCUCGCCCCUCCAUCACCACCAAUGAAAACAUUGGUCCGAUAGUUCUCCCGAGGAAUAAAGUUGUCUGCUCCUCCCAUCAAAUGACUGUGGAGCUCCCCUCUGGUUCCAUUUCUGGAAUCGUUGUUAAAGACAUCAAAGGGAAUGAGAUGAACCUCCAUGAUGCCCCAAAGCACUGUGGGUAUUCUGCAAAAGAAGGCAAAGGUGGCAAAAUUCAUUUGAGCCUGCAGUUGCACUCCCACUGCCAUAUGAGCGUGCAGGAUAAAAUGUACAUCAUCACUGUCAUCUACAUGACAGUCAAUGGGAAAAGGGAGGCGCAGUUUUCUUGUCCGGUUGUCAGCUCUGGGGCUGGGAAAGAGUGCAACCUUCCCAGCGAACAGCGUCUCCCCUGUGGAUCCGGCCCUGUAUCCCAGACACGGUGCCUCUCCAUGGGCUGCUGCUUCAGCAAGCACCCCCCUGCCUGCUACUACCCCAUGGAUGAGUGCACUGUUGACCGCCACUUUGUGUUCUCCGUGCCUGCCUCCCUCACGGACCCCCCUCUUUCUCCUUCUAUGCUGGUUACUGAUGGAAACUCGACCUGCAAGCCCGAGAGAGUGACCUCUGACUUUGCCGUGUUCAAGAUUCCAUUGGAUGACUGUGGGACAAGGAGAGUGAUGGUGGGACAAGCAGUAAUCUACAUGGUGGAGAUCAUUAACAAGGUUCAGGCAAUUAGCCUUAACUAUGGUACAAUCACAAGAGACUCUCCAGUCAGGUUGUUGGUGGAGUGCCGGUUUCUGCCAGAUACUGUCCUAAGUGUGGGCUACAUGGUUAAAACUCCCACCCUUGGACCUGAAGUUCAUACACAGGGGACAUUUGGAGUCCAGCUCAGAAUUGCCAAAGACGCCCAGUACAGCAGCUACUACCCUCAGUAUCACCAGCCCCUGCAGAUGCUGCUGGGAAAACCUCUCUACCUAGAAGUGCGGCUGCUCAACACCCCCGAUCCCAGUUUGGUGCUGCUGGUGCACUUCUGUGUGGCCUACCCCCGCUCUGCUACAGCUGUGUGGGUUCUGCUUUACAACGGGUGUCCGAACCCCUUGGAUCCAGCCCUGCAGCAGGCUGUACUGUCUGAUCCCCAGCCCUCCUCCCCACGGGGGCAGACCCGCCGCUUCACAGUCGAGACCUUUCAGUUUCUUCCUGAUGGCGAGUUCGUGGACUUGGAUGAAGAGAUCUACUUCAUGUGUUCGACGGAAAUCUGCUCGCCGCGUGAUGGGCCUUGUGUGGAGGGAUGCUUCGGACAGUGACGGUGAGGAAAGUUGCCCCUCUACAGAAAUCACCCACUACAUCUUCGUGAACCUCGGCAGGAAUCACGUGCAAGCGCCCAUGAAUGAGCCCUAUUUGUCAAAGAACAGCCUGAGAGCCAGCAUUUUCCUUACUACAUGGAAGAUACUUGAAGUUGGUCGAGUUUGGGGCCUCGUGCUCCUCUUCACCACUAAUAAAAGCUGUUGAAGGACUCUGA